AUCCUUCUGGAGCCACAAGAACUUUAAGCCAAGUCAAAAUGAAACACAAAAACAUUCUGCAAAAAGGUAAUAUUUGAUUACACAAUUACUGAACUAUUAUUAUAACAGGAUUUAGUAUAUUCAUUCUGUCAUGCAGCUAACAGAAAGAAGACUGAAGCCCGUCUAACUGGCGGGGGGCCACCACAACCUCCCCUCACCCCAUCUGAGGAGCUGGCUCUAUCCCUUAAUAAAGGGCGACUCCCUUUCUUUUAUAAUAUUGAGAAUUUAACGGGUUGUGUGUUCUUAUAGAUACUGAUGGACGGAUUGUAUUAUUGGACUCUCCAGAAAGAACACAGUCUGUCACAGUUGAUGAAGAUGAUGAUGACGAUGAAGAGACCACAUCUGCUGUGACAGAAGUGGACAAUGCUGGUAGAUCCACUGAGUACAUACCUAGGGAUUUGCCCACAGAUGAGGGUCCUUCAGCCUCAGCACACAAUCUAAGCAGGUUGCCAGCAAAGGAGCUGUAUAAGGUCCAUCUUCAAAAACAAAUAAGAAAAAGUGACAUGGAGAUGGACCUUAUACAGCUUCAAAUGGAAGAGAAAAGGCUCCUCAUUAAAAACGCAGCACUUGAAAUAGAAUUACUUGAGAAUCGCCUUAAGGUGAGAACUUGUCUGAAUAUUAAUCUGUUGCAUGUUAAAAGUGGUCCGUCUGUCUGUCUGUGUCUGUCUCUAUCUAUCUAUCUAUCUGUAUCUAUGUAUGUAUGUGUAAAGCAAUAUAAAAAAAAAACAUUUUAAUGAAUUUUACUGUUUUUCUGGAAAUGAAGAAAUAAACUGCCUGGCAGACCAUUGCCAAAAAAACUAAUAAAAGUAAUUUUGACAAAUCCUGUCUCUCAAAAGUCUUCCGUCUCUGUUGGCCUCUAAAAUCUGUCGGUGUUCCUCUGGGCCAUCUUCCUCAAUACAAGGAGGGUGGCUCUCUCCUCUUAUAGUGGCAAUAUUGUGAAGCACAACACAAGCCCCAAUAAUGUUGCAUGCCCUCUCUGGACUAACCCGGAGCCUACGCAGACACUGAAACCGAGA